rnacentral:lncRNA from 1 species
CUAGCUACGUGCAGCCCAAGGGCCAAAACAUAUGCAAGCUUUGUUGAAAUCAGGCUAGCUCUUGUUAGCCUAGAAGGGCUAAAGUAAAUCCAGAUCCUGCAACACAUCCCAUAAUCCAGUUCAUCCUGCUUCUUGGCAUCUGAAAAGGACGAAGAAAAGGAAGAGCAAGCCAAACAGCUUAAUUAGUAAGAUUCAUUUACACUUUUAAUUAAAUGCAUAUACAUAAACUUGGCUACACUUAAGUGCAUUUCCAC